rnacentral:rRNA from 1 species
AUCUACGGCCAUGCCACCCUGAACGAGCUCGAUCCCGUCUGAUCUCGGCAGCGAAGCAGGGUCGGGCCUGGUUAGUGUUUGGAUGGGAGACCACCUAGGAAGACCAGGUGCUGUAGGCA